GGUGCUGCAGCACCCCUUGCUUUUUAAUAAUAUAGGCCUACAAAUUCGCAGUUUGUCAUUAUAUUUGUUGUCAAAUAGGCAAAUAGCAAAAAAGGUUAUGGAUAGCUUUGAAUAUAGCUAUCCAUAGAUUAAACGUUAUAGUCUAGCUAUAGAAGUGAAAGUGACGUGACUCGCUGAGGAGAGACGUUGCAAGCAGGCUAGUUGACUUCGAGAAAAGAAUAUUAGGCUACAGAAAAGAAUACAGGAUUUUUUUCUCUCCCGGCAGUAAAGACAGUAGAUUCAGUGUUUAAAAUGUAUAUGCAAACUAAAGGUAGGCUAACUAUGCAUAUGACCAUCCAGAGGCUGCUGAUCUGUCAAAAAUGAUGAAGAUCAAGAUGGUUUUAUUGUUGCUGCCAUUAUUACCACAAACACGAAUUGAUAACGAGACCAUGGCGAUCGUGGGUUAUAUCUUGCCUGCUUAUUAGGCCAUGCACCUGUUAGAACUCCGUGUAGCAUGCAUACUGCCAGUUUCCAUAUACCAUCACCAACUAUUUCGCACUUUGGAUAUAUCGUUGGAUUGUGAAAAGCCCAAUUUCGAAUACCAAACGACAACAGAUGAGGGACCUGUUUCUCUUUUUCUCCCUCUUCAUCUCUCUCCUCCUCCUCCUCCUCCUCCAUACCCAUCCCUGUAGGAAUGACCUUUCCAUCAGAGCGAGAUUCCCAUCCGGGACCCUCCCAAAGAACACUACAACAUUCUGGAACCAUUAUCCAUUAUGACAUCAUGGAAUGUAUAGCCGCUUGGACAGCGGCCUGGGACGACAGAUGUUGCGUGUGUUUCUGUGCAUCUCGGGAUGUAGGGUGACUCCAUAUGCAUCCCCGAGAAAUGACUUCAAUCAAUCAUGCCGUGGGGCGAGCGAGACGAGACUUCAUUAGGUCAACAACUGAACUGGGACACAGAUCGUCAUCCCCUCCAUUAUGUUUGUGUUUUUGCUGUUGCCUUCCAAUGCCCUGUCAUACAAAUGACAACAAGAUUGCAGCACUUGAUACAUCACGGAGACUUGGGAAUGACCAGAGAGCCACUCACCUACCAGUGCACUGCACAAGAUUUAUAGUUUGCACCAUAUUCUCCUCCAGAAGAGAGAGUUUCUAGAAUCGUUGCUGUUCCUCCCGUCAGUGCCGUGUCCAGACUCCAUUCUGACCUCUAUCGUCCUGUCCUGACCUCUACUAUGUGGACGGCUCAUUACCCAGGAAGGUGUGUCCACUCAGCAGACAACGAGGCUGUUUCUUUAACACGGACGACAGGACAGAGAAACGCUGAUGGCUGAAGCUCUCUAUGUACGCAGCCCCUCGUGCUUUUUUUAAACCUCAGUCUUCCACGCUGUCUUUCUGUCUCUCCAUCUCACUGCUUCUCUGCCUAACGCUGGAAAAGAUAAAGGUGCUAAAAACGGUUCUUCAGAGAGAUGCCACAGAGGAAUCUUCUGCACUGCUUCAAAGAAUCUAUAACCUGAUACAGUUCUCAAAAUAAAUAUUUCAGUACCCUUAUGGCUUGGCUUAUGCCUUGUAUGGCUUGUGUCUGUCUGUAUGUCUCACUGUCUGUCUGUCUAUCUCCUUGUCACAUGUCUAUAAAUGUCUAUCUGAUUCUCCUCUUCUCUGUAUUUCCCCACUUGUCUGUCUCUUGUAGUCUGUCUGUCUCUCUGUCUGUCUCUUGUAGUCUGUCUGUCUCUCU